CUCAAUCUUUCUCUUAACUCUUGAAAGUGGCUGCAGCCUGGGGCUCUGGUAAUUUGCUGCAGAAGCAGAUGCCUUUCUGUCACUGUUUCCCAAAGCAUGGCAGAAAAGGAGAGGGGACAUAAGAGAUUUCUUUCUUGGGCCAAGGAAAGUUAGGAAGACAGCUGAAGAGGUGGCAGAAGAGGACAUCAGGGAGAGCGACGUGGUGGAGUGUCAAGCACAGAGUUCAGGUUCAAGCUGCAGCAGUUGACAGUAUGUAGAGAGGGAGUCUCCGGCAGAAUGUUCUCAGUCAGGGCGAGAGGCAGAAGAGGACAUCAGGGAGAGCGGCGUACAGGGGUAGAAGGAGUUGUCCAGGUACAGAUAAGAAGAGUUAUACAGACAAGAAGAGUUAUACAGAUGAGAAGAGUUAUACAGAUACAGGAUCUCUUCUUCCAGGGAGUCCUGGAAAAUGACGGAUGAAAACAAACAAGGAA